UUGUGUUUAGUUGGAAAUCUUAAAAUUGUCAUGUUAGAUGUCAUAAUAUAAAUCUUCAUAUAAUCUUUAAAUUAUCAGAUGGUGUGAUCUUUUUGUAAAUUAUGGUGGUUUUAAUUCUACUGAUCUGACAUGCCCACUCCAAACUCCCCUGUCCUCAAUUUCCGUGACAGCCAGCUGUCGCAAAGCUUAAACUUCUCGAGACUCAACACAGACAACUCACGCUGCUGUCUAUUUUGAAAUACUUAGUUGUUGAGGAUGACACGUCUAAGAAAUACAAAAUACAAUUCGUGUGAAAGCUUUAGAGUGCACAGUUUACCACAGUCCUCAGCUAGUAUUAGCUGCUGCAAUGUCUAACUACUGUUGUGUUCUUUUAAUGCCCUCGUUUAAUUAGACUUAUGUGUCCUACAGAGGUAAUGCACAGUUGACAGAUGGUCAUCAACCCCACCAUGGUUAUUCUGUAGAGAAUAUUUUGAAUAAGUCAGUAUUUUCAGUUGUCUGGCUGGUCCUUUAAUAUAGUUUUGUAUGUGAUCAGUCUGCAGUUUCACUUUAUUUUCUUGUAUCAUCAUGUAGCUAUUAGUCUAAUUUGUUGUACUUAACAUCGCCAUUGUAGAAUGUAACAAUUCAUUUUAAUGCAAAAUGUUUUUCUGACAUCUUAAUACACUUGAUAAAUUUGUUUUUUCUAUCUUCAUAGAGAAAAGAAGAGCUGCCAACCAGGUUCAUCAAAGUCAUACAGCAGGGAGAUGUCCACUGCACCUGCUGUUAUGCAAUGGGAUUCUGCUGCGACGGAGGCGCAAAUCAGAUCUGCAGCUGCAGAUCACUUGAAGCAUGCCCCGGGACGAGUUGGAGGAGGAGGUUACAAUUAGGUCUUGUUAGCAACUGAAUUUUUACUCUUUUCUAAUUUUAAAUACUUUUAUAUAUUUAUAGUUUUGUUAGAUUCGUUUUAUUCAAUGUUCACUGUUGUAAAAUGUAUU